AUUCCAGGGUGCCAGCUGUGUCAUGACUGACGGAGGCUGGAGAUGGAGGCCUGAUCAUUCCGGCCCAAUAUGGAGGCAUUCCAAUGGCCAUUUCAGCUCCAGAACUCAGGGGUUUUGCUCCCCAGAGGGUCAAGCCAGCUCUCCAAGGAUCUCUCAGCCAGGGCGGACAGAAACGGAUACCCAUGUUACUGCAUGGCCCCUGAACCUGAUGGAGUAUGACCUACUGGGCAGAGCUCAGCUCAGCUACCCCAAGAAGUAAACAGCACAGAGGGAAAGAUAAACCUUCCAGGCUUUCCGAAAGCAAUUAUCAUGUGUGGUUAUCAGAAAAUUUGUAUUCACUAUCCCGGGGGAAGGAAGCAGAGAUACAAAUAAACCCAGAAUUGAUAUUUGCCUGGGGAUAAAUUACAUGACAUUGCAGGGUGGGGAGCAGAUUUUCUUUCUGGAUUACUUUCUGCACAGGCGGCCAUUAAAAUGUAUAGCUAGCCCCUGAGUGUGCAUCAGCUUGGGGCCGGGAAGCCAGACUGGAGGCCAUGGUUUGAGGGCAUAGCGCUCAUAAGGAAAUGGGAAAGUCAACUUUUGAUUUUCUUUUGUCAAGUGUUUGAGAAGGGUUUGUUACUUUCUCCAAGGCCCUGAGAGUUGAUAUCACACUCUCCCCUACAUGGUGUGGGCUGGCAACCACAAGGUGGUGACUUCCAUAGCAGGUCCUCUGAAGGGGAAGAGACAGCAGGUGGUCCCACGGACCUGCAGGAUUCUUGAGCUGCCCACGACAGCCAGUGCAUCACGCCCUCAUCUAGAAGCUUCAGCCCGGUGUUUAUGAGCUUGGCAGUAAAAACUCCACUGGUGCUCUGUGGAUAAGCAAAGCUGGUGUCCCUUCCCUUGCACACUGGCAGUGUUCGGUAGCAAGGGGUUCAAUGCUGGGGCCAUUCCUUUGUCUUGGGAAACUGUCACAGGGUAGGACGGCCAUUUCUUCAGGCUUGCUGACCCCAGGUUAACCUCACACCAGCCCAGUGGCCCCCUUCGGGGCAGUGUGGCCAGGGGGACAAUUAUCUGUGGCUUUAUCAGGCAGAUGGUGUCUGCAAUCCUCACUCUACAAUCUCAGCUGUUUGACCUUGGACAAAGCUGGCCUCACCUACUCACCCAUGAGCUGGAGGUCGCUGCGGUACCUACACCACUGGGCUGGCAUGAGGAUGAAAUUAGAAUGUACAGAGGGUGCUCAGCACACAGUGUUUGUCCAGGAAGUGGCAGCUCUCAUAAUUUUCUGUGCGUAACGAGUUAUAACAAACUCCUUUUUUUCAAGAGCACACUCUAUGUUUUCUAAAAUCUAGGAAAGAAACAAAUUGUCUUUCUCAACAGAAACCUGUGAAAACAACUCAGGGACACCCAUACCAUGAGACCCUUGCCCCGGCCAUUUGAAUAACCACAGGCUAGAGCCUUACAGCUCUUCAUCCCCAGCGUGGUACUCAUCCCAUGAAAGGCCACGUUCUACUCACAGGUGAAAUAAACUGGUUUUAAACAAUCAGCCUUACGGCAAUCUUGAGGACAAGAGAUUUGGGACAUUUCUUGGGCCACGUUUGACCUGAAGCCAGCAGGUCAUAGACUUAGGUCCCCAGUCAAACCCUUGCUCAGGUGGGAAACUCAUGCACUGCACCUGGUUCUGGUCUGUGAUCUCUCCUGGAAGCCGAGCAUCAUUUGGAAGUGUGUCUGGAGGAGGUGUUCCUUUUUUUUUUUUAAUUGAGGCAGAGUCUUGCUCUAUCGCCCCAGAGCUAGAGUGCAGUGGCACCAUCUCGGCU
rnacentral:lncRNA from 10 species